rnacentral:lncRNA from 1 species
GUUCGCGUGCCACCGCCGCACAUUGCCUCCUCCACUUCCUCCGGUGUGCAUGCUCUUCUUCCUCGUGUGUGUAUUGCUCGCGUGCUUGCUUGCUUACUUGCUUGUCCGCUACCUCCUCUAUGCUUACUGCCGGGCUUUCCCGAGGCACGUACGCGAGACGAGCUCGGAUGGAAGGUGGAUCGCGUAUCGAAUCUCGCUCCUCUCCCUCCCUUUCUCUCCCCUCUCUCUGUCUCCUAUAUCAGCACAUACGCCUCCUCGUCCAUGAAUCCACAUGGACACACACUUCCGUGCACAAAGGGUGUCCGAAGAGUCGAGCUUCGAAACUUCGAACGCGGUUGACAAUCCUCGAAUCGUCUUAUUGUCGCGUCAUUCGGAUAUUUUGUUGUGCGCGAUGGAAAGUCGAUGAAAUAUUAAUAAAAGCUUAUUCCGGGGCAUCGAGACUCGUUCGUAGAUUGCAGGGAGUGAAUUUCAAGUUGGGAUAGUCACUGUCCGAUUAUAGCAUCGGGUUUAUACUCGCUUUUUUAUAUUCCACUUGUGAGAUUGACAACCUCGCUAAUCCUAACCUCUCUUUCGCGAGUCGCUACUUCUAGAAACGAUGCUAAAAUUUCUAUGAAUACGUGAACUUUUGGAUAAAUGUUAUUUUCUCCUUCGGGAGGACGUCGAUUUUCGUUUAUUUAUAAACGUUUAAAUCUUCAUUGAAUCGUCGAAAUUCACAAACGGACAUUUCGAAAGCUCGAAUGUCCUCGAACGAUCAUUCAUCGUUAGAGAACGAAGCUGAGGUUUGCUCAAUAUCCGGAAAAUGUCUGCAGUAUUCGUGGAUGAAAAUUCGUACCUGUGUCUCGUCGAAGGACGCACUCAAUCAACCACGCAUCGAAGGAGAAAAUACUUCGGGACUGUUUUCCUCAGAAGUUCCUCGGAGCCUUUGAGGUAAUCGGGAUCGUUGACUGGAGCGUAUCAUUCAAGAGAUUUCGAUCAAUCGAACCCAACGAACUUCUGACAACCAUUGAAACUGUCGAGUCUUAUUGGCACGCUAGUAGCUUGCAUUUCGAAAUAAAUUUGAUUAAAAGAAUUCAUGAAACAUCGAUUUUGGAAGUUUACACUAAAAAACCUGAUGAUUGAGCCGCUGCGAUUCGUAAGCUGCAAAUGAGUGUUCAAAAAAGCAUCGCAAAUAUUUCUUAUACCGAGUGGCACUUAACCUCUUAAAAACUAACCUCUAAACCAUUUCGAUCCCUCCCGUUUUCGUUAGCCUCAGACUGCCUCGUCAUGUUCGAUUCCAAUGUCGUUGGAAUCAAUUUGAAAUUUAACGACAGCCACGUUUUGUACACCCGAUACAUGAAAAGCUCACUAUAUAGAUUUAUUUCCCACGCAUCCUCCGAUGUCUCCGUGCAAUAUUUUCCUCUCGCUUGCUCUCUCGCUGUUUUCCUCUUCACCUCUACCCUCGAUAGGACUCCACGUAGUUCAUCUACCUUUCUCGUUACUAUUUUCCACAUCCCGUUGGCACCCAACGUACACCCUAUGCGACACGACCCGUCAGAACGUGCGAGCAGAAAAAAAGGAGACCGCGCGCGCGCGGGAGAGAAGAUCACGGUACAGAAAAGACAGGACCGAGCUCGAAAUUCCCACACGUAGUAGUAAAAAUCUCUCUGAUUCUACCCCGAGAGUUACAAGCUGAGCAAAAGUCAGCACACGAAGCUUCUUGAAACGUUGUUAUAUGUGCAACGUCGAAAAUAUAUGUUCUACUCGUUAACUCCGCCGUACGAGAGUCCACAGACACGAAAACCCUCUUUCCCUUUUUUUCGUUUUUUUUUCUCCUCGAAGCUUUAAUGAAUUAUAUUCAUUUGGCUGUGGUUAUUUGUGAAACAGCGCAAAUAAAGACCCUUCGUAAUGCUCGAGGUCUUCACUUCAUUACCAAGUUAUUCCAUGAAUACCCAGCAUUUUAAGUGCGACGCUGACAAGCCGAACGAAAAUGAAGAAGAGAUAAGUUAGGUUAGGGCAUCUUUUUCGCGAAUGCGAGUUCUCAGUUUUAUCAUCAAUUUUUUCAUCUCUUCGCUUCUUACUUUUAUCCGAAUACCCAAAUAUAAAACAAAUCGAUGUUGACAUCCCUCGUAAAAUUUUCAACUUUUUUCAUUUUCACGGUUUGCCACAGGGAAUUUCACUACAAUUCGAGAACAUCGGUAAUCGAUCGAAAACAAAUUUUGCAAUGAAUUUAAGAAAUUUAUGGCUCCGAUUAUUCAAUCGAUCAAGAUCAUCGAAAAAUUUAAUUUUAAAGAGAAUCAAUUUCGUCAAUUAAAUGAAAACUCAUUUAGUAUUAUAAAUUGAGUUAAUCCAUAGGCUUAAAAUACUUGUGACGUGUGCCGAAUUCCGCUCGUUACGAAAUGAAUAGCGAUCCAUUGCGACAGGUCGAAUCACUGAAAUUGUCUGCGCGAGCCAGCAGUUCGAGAAAGGAACUUUACCUCGUUACUUCAACUAUUGAAAUCGCACAUAUGCCGGAGGAAUUCGAAACAAAGGGACUGGCACAUUCGACCGGAAUUAAUUAAAAGUAUCGAUCAGUGAAUACGUAUAUUGACGCGCCAUUUAUAGGUUAUCUUUCGCUGACUGAUGAAUAUUAGAAGCUCCCGUAUUAAAUGGAACGAUUAUUACGAGAUUUAUUAUUUAUUGUUUCAUUCUGGGGCAUCGCUGCUUGCUUCAGACGUUUUAAUGCUUGGUUUGAGGGUCUUUAAUAAAAUUGUGACAUCACACCGGUUUUUGCGAUGGAAGAGCCCGCACACUCGUGUCAAAAUGACGCAAUUUCGUUCUUUUCUUCUGAUAAUACGAUUUGUAAUGAAUUUUGAAAAAUACUGACACCAUUUUUUACUAACGGAUAAAAUACGACUGUAUUUGUGUUGCCAAAAAAACGAUGAUUUUUGUCCAGACCAAAAACGCGUUUUUAUUUAUCGUUUGUUUUAACCAAGAUCGUGACGUGACCGCGGAGGUACGUCUGUUUUAUCCUGUUUUUCGUAAUGAAGUAAAAAAUUUGAGCGUGAAGAAAAAGUAGUUGGAAUUCCAGGUUUUAUAUGUUUCUUCGUCUAUUUUAAUAUUUGAUGUUCAACAUUCAUAUUUUUAGACUCGAAUUAUUUAAUUAUUGUUGUCGACUGAAAAAGUGACUAAUCAAUUAUUGUUGCCGAGGAAAUUUUGGUCUUGAAGUGUGCAAGGGUAAGGAUUCGUCGGAAUAACAACUCGUAAAUGAGGUUUGCAUAAAACAUCACAUUUUAUGAAUUUCUUACAAUGAUUAUGAGGUAGGCAAUGUUGAGGUUGGUGAAUCGAGAGUUCGGGACACGUCGAAGGAACGUGCUUCAACGACUUCACAUUAACGUUACGUAAAAUAAUGCUACAUUGCAUUUUUUGCAUGUUGCAAUUCUUCUCUAACUCCUACAUCAUUUGUUUACCAUUAAAUUGAAUAUGAAAAAAAAAUAAUAAUAUUUAAAAACAGUGAAAAAUAUAAUGAAAUAAUAUUUUUAAAAUAUUUCUAGCGUUGUUCGAAUCCUUUGAGGAAAAGAUUUCUGAUUUUUUGUACUUUGGGUUCUGGGGAAUUGACGAGAUUUUCUAUAAAAUCAUAUUGACCAACGGAACCGUGUUUCCUGUAUCCAAUCGUCGCACUAUUCAUCGAUAUUUCGACCGGCCGUAGUGCAAACGUUUUCUAAUCUCCACUACUCCAUCGAUUCUACAUAUUUUUGUACACUUGCGCGUUCCUUGUUUAUUUCUCUUGCUAAUGAAAAAUAUGGCGUUUCCUGUCAUUUAUAAAUGUGUAGCGUAGUAAAAAAAAUCAGUCUUACUUGUAAUACAACGUUUAGUUGUUAAGGCAACGUGAUUUACUUAUCGAUAAUAGUGUAAUAAUCGUAUUAUGAGAAUAAUAAAAACAUCGUGUCGUAUUUAA